AAUGGCAGACCAAAUAAAAGAUUCUACCCAGGUUCAGCAUGGAGUAGCAAUGGGUUUAAUUUUGUUACAGGAACAUGGAUGAAGAGCUGCUUGAAGGAGUAUGGGCAGCUAAGAUCUCCUCAUCUUCAUGAUUAUUAUCUUCUCACUUCUUUGGAGCAGGAAGAUCAUGAGAAACCUUCUCUACAGUUUCAUACUAUGCCUGAUGUGUACCACUCUCCUCCCCCAGUGGAAAGGAGGAUGGACAAGACAAUGAACAUGUAUUGUUAUCUCCCCAGGUAUGUAGAAAUAUUUUUGAGUCUCCUUUCAGAUGAGUAUUAAAUUGAAUACUUUGAGGAAACCAAUAG
rnacentral:lncRNA from 1 species